rnacentral:sRNA from 1 species
CAACUGUAAUCACUGCGCAGCCUGUGCUUGCUCAAGCAUCCGAUAGUAACUGUUCUUAGAUUCAUUAUUCGAUAAAAUCUAUGUUUGUAUUUUUGAUCAAAAAAGGGGCAUGAACAUACCUGGUGAAAAGGAUAUCAAACCAGGAAAUAUGUAGAGCAGAACAAGAAGCUGAAUCGAUGAUUUUAAUAUUUUUGACUCAGGGCUACACUCUGUGGGAUGAGAAAAGUAGUGGCCCGGCCAAAGGGUGUAAGUCUACGAUUUUUGCAGAGUUGAGGAGUAAUCCACAGACCCACAGGAUUCAACGGU